UUAGUCUCAGUUCGGAUUGUAGGCUGAAACUCGCCUACAUGAAGCUGGAGUUGCUAGUAAUCGCGAAUCAGCAUGUCGCGGUGAAUACGUUCCCGGGCCUUGUACACACCGCCCGUCACACCAUGAGAGUUGGCAAUACCCAACGUACGUGAUCUAACCCGCAAGGGAGGAAGCGUCCUAAGGUAGGGUCAGCGAUUGGGGUGAAGUCGUAACAAGGUAGC
rnacentral:rRNA from 1 species